UGUGACGGCCAAGGAAUGCCACCUUAUUC
rnacentral:piRNA from 1 species